rnacentral:rRNA from 1 species
GAUGAACGCUGGCGGCGUGCCUAAUACAUGCAAGUCGAGCGAUCAAACGAGGUGCUUGUACCUAUUGGGUUAGCGGCGAACGGGUGAGUAACGCGUGGAUAACCUACCUUUGAGACUGGGACAACAUCGGGAAACGAAUGCUAAUACCGCAUAAUAACUUUAACCGCAAGUUUCAAGAGUGAAAGACGCAUUUGCUGUCAUUAAUAGUUAUACCCGGUUGUAUUAGCUAGUUGGUAGGGGAAAGGCUCACCAAGGCCACGAAACGUAGCCGCCCUGAGGGGGUGAUGGGCCACACGGGAACUGAGACACGGUCCAGACUCCUACGGGAGGCAGCAGUGGGGAAUCUUGGGCAAUGGGCGAAAGCCUGACGGAGCAACGCCGCGUGGGUGAUGAAGGUCUUCGGAUGGUAAACCCCUUUUGUUGGGAAAGAAGAUAGGUAUAAUGAAAAACGCAUGUAGUGACGGUACCUAAUCAGAAAGCCACGGCUAACUACGUG